rnacentral:rRNA from 1 species
UAAUACGUAGGGGGCGAGCGUUGUCCGGAAUUACUGGGCGUAAAGGGCGCGCAGGCGGCCCGCUAAGUCCGCUGUGAAAGACCGGGGCUCAACCCCGGGGUGUCAGCGGAGACUGGUGGGCUAGGGUGUCGGAGAGGGAUGCGGAAUACCUGGUGUAGCGGUGGAAUGCGUAGAGAUCAGGUGGAACACCGAUGGCGAAGGCAGCAUCCUGGCCGGAGACCGACGCUGAGGCGCGAAAGCUGGGGGAGCGAACGGGAUUAGAUACCCCGGUAGUCCCAGCCGUAAACGAUGUCGACUAGGUGUGGGGGGAUCACUCCCUCCGUGCCGCAGCUCACGCAUGAAGUCGACCGCCUGGGGAGUACGGCCGCAAGGUUG